rnacentral:rRNA from 1 species
GACGAACGCUGGCGGCGUGCCUAAUACAUGCAAGUAGAACGCUGAAGGAGGAGCUUGCUUCUCUGGAUGAGUUGCGAACGGGUGAGUAACGCGUAGGUAACCUGCCUGGUAGCGGGGAUAACUAUUGGAAACGAUAGCUAAUACCGCAUAAUAGUAGAUGUUGCAUGACAUUUGCUUAAAAGGUGCAAUUGCAUCACUGCCAGAUGGACCUGCGUUGUAUUAGCUAGUUGGUGGGGUAACGGCUCACCAAGGCGACGAUACAUAGCCGACCUGAGAGGGUGAGCAGCCACACUGGGACUGAGACACGGCCCAGACUCCUACGGGAGGCAGCAGUAGGGAAUCUUCGGCAAUGGACGGAAGUCUGACCGAGCAACGCCGCGGGAGUGAAGAAGGUUGUCGGAUCGUAAAGCUCUGUUGUAAGAGAAGAACGAGUGUGAGAGUGGAAAGUUCACACUGUGACGGUAUCUGACCAGAAAGGGACGGCUAACUACGUG